rnacentral:rRNA from 1 species
GGUGGAUUAGUGGCGAACGGGUGAGUAAUGUAUAGCUAAUCUGCCCUACACUAGAGGACAACAGUUGGAAACGACUGCUAAUACUCUAUACUCCUCUUUAACAUAAGUUAGAUAGGGAAAGUUUUUCGGUGUAGGAUGAGGCUAUAUUGUAUCAGCUAGUUGGUGAGGUAAUGGCUCACCAAGGCUAUGACGCAUAACUGGUCUGAGAGGAUGAUCAGUCACACUGGAACUGAGACACGGUCCAGACUCC